rnacentral:misc_RNA from 1 species
GAUGAAGAAGGUAGCGAAAUGCGAUACUUAGUGUGAAUUGCAGAAUCCCGUGAACCAUCGAGUCUUUGAACGCAAGUUGCGCCCGAAGCCAUCAGGUUGAGGGCACGUCUGCCUAGGCGUCACAUAUCGUUGCCCAAUGCCUAUUGCAGUGCAAUAGGAAUUUCUAGGGCGAAUGAUGGCUUCCCGUGAGCGUUGUUGCCUCGCGGUUGGUUGAAAAUCGAGUCCUUGGUAGGGUGUGCCAUGGUAGAUGGUGGUCGAGUUAGAACGAUACCGAUCAUGUGCAUGCUCCCCAAAAUAUGGCCUCUAUGACCCACACGCGUCUUUUGACGCUCAUGACGAGACCUCAGGUCAGGCGGGGCUACCCGCUGAAUUUAAGCAUAUCAAUAAGCGGAGGA